UACUUGUUACCUUGGCUAUGGAACAUUGGUUGAUUAGACAGGUAUAAAACAAGUCCUGGUAGUUAUUUUCCCCAUAGCAAUAACAUAAUUUGUCUUUUGUUAACAUUUUUUGAAAAUGUCAACAUUAUACAUAAAAACCCAUCCAAUUUUUGUAUUUCUACAGGUCCCAGAUAAUAAUUAGGAAAACAAAUCAGGACCGAAACUCCAGAGAGUCUGAAAUUGGCUGACCAUGGAACACCUAACCCGAAAAUAUGCAUAUCCCUUUCAGAGGGCAAAAGGCCUGAUGGGUACAUUUUCAAUUUGCUGCUAAUGACAGAGCAUGUAAAAUAGCCUUUUUGUGGAAAGAGCUUCUGAAACGGUAAUGUUUUAGAUAUAGAUUUUUAUCACCAUGAGAGGAGGUAAUAUUCUUGAAUAUCACUAAGAAUGCAUCUGAUAGACAGUAUUAAUUUAGCAGAGGACGUAAGGAAGGGAGGAAUGGACAGGGGAGUCAUUAUUUUUGAGGAAGUGGGUAGGGAGUUCUGCCGAAAAUACUCCUCACUGUAUCCAAACCACAAAGGUUUACUAAACAGAAAUUUAAAUCAAAAGGCAAACAGGAUGUUCAUCUGGGACACAUAUUUGGACACAUACUUUUAAUACCACAUAAAAGCUGCACCAGCCAGAUGUGAAAGCAAUGAAAUUUAAACAAAAAAGCAAACAAUAAAGUAAGAAGUGAAAUUGGAUGAUAGCCCUCAACAUAGAGCACUUCCUCAGUGAAGUGACUGGAUCACAGACGGUGCAAUUGACUCUGAGGAAGAGGUGGGGCAGGUUCUGCAGGCCUGUGUUUUCUCACAAUGGAAGAAGUAAAAUAGCAAUCUGGUUUCAGGAAACAGUGAGCUUUGGCAGCCUCUGCUUUCUGGUUUCUUACAUUAUCUAUUUUAGACUGAAGUGGAAACUUAUUAAAGCCAGCACUUUAAUAUCAGAUCAGCUGCAGGAAGGAAAACAGAGAAAAAAGUGUUGGUACAUAUUGUACCCUGAACAUCAUGAAGCAAGAAAUGAAUAACAAUUUCUAUGAGCUAUCUAAGGCUAGUCAUUCUAUCACAAAUACAGAAUGAUAAUGUC
rnacentral:lncRNA from 1 species